AUUGAACGCUAGCGGGAUGCCUUACACAUGCAAGUCGAACGGCAGCGCGGACUUCGGUCUGGCGGCGAGUGGCGAACGGGUGAGUAAUGUAUCGGAACGUGCCCAGUAGCGGGGGAUAACUACUCGAAAGAGUAGCUAAUACCGCAUACGCCCUACGGGGGAAAGGGGGGGAUCGCAAGACCUCUCACUAUUGGAGCGGCCGAUAUCGGAUUAGCUAGUUGGUGAGGUAAAAGCUCACCAAGGCGACGAUCCGUAGCUGGUUUGAGAGGACGACCAGCCACGCUGGGACUGAGACACGGCCCAGACUCCUACGGGAGGCAGCAGUGGGGAAUUUUGGACAAUGGGGGCAACCCUGAUCCAGCCAUUCCGCGUGUGCGAUGAAGGCCUUCGGGUUGUAAAGCACUUUUGGCAGGAAAGAAAUCGCACGGAUUAAUACUCUGUGUGGAUGACGGUACCUGCAGAAUAAGCACCGGCUAACUACGUGCCAGCCGCCGCAGUAA
rnacentral:rRNA from 1 species